GCUUACGGCCACACCGGCCUGAGUACGCCCUGAUCUCGUCCGAUCUCGGAAGCUAAGCAGGGUCGGGCCUGGUUAGUACUUGGAUGGGAGACCGCCUGGGAAUACCAGGUGCUGUAAGCU
ensembl:rRNA 5S_rRNA 5S ribosomal RNA